rnacentral:rRNA from 1 species
UACGUAGGGCGCAAGCGUUGUCCGGAAUUAUUGGGCGUAAAGAGCUCGUAGGCGGUUUGUCGCGUCUGCUGUGAAAACCUAAGGCUCAACCUUGGGCUUGCAGUGGGUACGGGCAGACUAGAGUGCGGUAGGGGUGACUGGAAUUCCUGGUGUAGCGGUGAAAUGCGCAGAUAUCAGGAAGAACACCCGUGGCGAAGGCGGUUCUCUGGGACGGUACUGAC